GACGUAGGGCGCAAGCGUUGUCCGGAUUUAUUGGGCGUAAAGAGCUCGUAGGCGGCCUGUCGCGUCGGCUGUGAAAACUCACGGCUCAACCGUGGGACUGCAGUCGAUACGGGCAGGCUAGAGUUCGGUAGGGGAGACUGGAAUUCCUGGUGUAGCGGUGAAAUGCGCAGAUAUCAGGAGGAACACCGGUGGCGAAGGCGGGUCUCUGGGCCGAUACUGACGCUGAGGAGCGAAAGCGUGGGGAGCGAACAGG
rnacentral:rRNA from 1 species